UACAGAGGGUGCGAGCGUUAAUCGGAAUUACUGGGCGUAAAGCGCGCGUAGGCGGCUUUGCAAGUCGGGUGUGAAAUCCCCGGGCUUAACCUGGGAACUGCAUUUGUGACUGCAUAGCUAGAGUACGGUAGAGGGGGAUGGAAUUCCGCGUGUAGCAGUGAAAUGCGUAGAUAUGCGGAGGAACACCGAUGGCGAAGGCAAUCCCCUGGACCUGUACUGACGCUCAUGCACGAAAGCGUGGGGAGCAAACAGG
rnacentral:rRNA from 1 species